GACGUAGGGCGCGAGCGUUGUCCGGAUUUAUUGGGCGUAAAGAGCUCGUAGGCGGCUCGUUGCGUCGGCUGUGAAAACCCGCAGCUCAACUGUGGGCUUGCAGCUGAUACGGGCGGGCUGGAGUUCGGCAGGGGAGACUGGAAUUCCUGGUGUAGCGGUGAAAUGCGCAGAUAUCAGGAGGAACACCGGUGGCGAAGGCGGGUCUCUGGGCCGAAACUGACGCUGAGGAGCGAAAGCGUGGGGAGCAAACAGG
rnacentral:rRNA from 1 species